rnacentral:rRNA from 1 species
GGUGAACGCUGGCGGUAGGCCUAACACAUGCAAGUCGAACGGCAGCACAGUAAGAGCUUGCUCUUACGGGUGGCGAGUGGCGGACGGGUGAGGAAUACAUCGGAAUCUACUUUUUCGUGGGGGAUAACGUAGGGAAACUUACGCUAAUACCGCAUACGACCUACGGGUGAAAGCAGGGGAUCUUCGGACCUUGCGCGAUUGAAUGAGCCGAUGUCGGAUUAGCUAGUUGGCGGGGUAAAGGCCCACCAAGGCGACGAUCCGUAGCUGGUCUGAGAGGAUGAUCAGCCACACUGGAACUGAGACACGGCCCAGACUCCUACGGGAGGCAGCAGUGGGGAAUAUUGGACAAUGGGCGCAAGCCUGAUCCAGCCAUACCGCGUGGGUGAAGAAGGCCUUCGGGUUGUAAAGCCCUUUUGUUGGGAAAGAAAAGCAGCAGGUUAAUACCCCGCUGUUCUGACGGUACCCAAAGAAUAAGCACCGGCUAACUUCGUG